rnacentral:rRNA from 1 species
GGCCAUACCACCCUGAACGAGCCCGAUCUCGUCUGAUCUCGGAAGCUAAGCAGGGUCCGGCCUGGUUAGUACUUGGAUGGGAGAAACUAGGAAUGAAUGGUCC